rnacentral:rRNA from 1 species
CCUACGGGGUGCAGCAGUGAGGAAUAUUGGUCAAUGGACGAGAGUCUGAACCAGCCAAGUAGCGUGAAGGAUGACUGCCCUAUGGGUUGUAAACUUCUUUUAUAUGGGAAUAAAAUGUUCCACGUGUGGGAUUUUGUAUGUACCAUAUGAAUAAGGAUCGGCUAACUCCGUGCCAGCAGCCGCGGUAAUACGGAGGAUCCGAGCGUUAUCCGGGUUUAUUGGGUUUAAAGGGAGCGUAGGUGGAUUGUUAAGUCAGUUGUGAAAGUUUGCGGCUCAACCGUAAAAUUGCAGUUGAAACUGGCAGUCUUGAGUACAGUAGAGGUGGGCGGAAUUCGUGGUGUAGCGGUGAAAUGCUUAGAUAUCACGAAGAACUCCGAUUGCGAAGGCAGUUCACUGGACUGCAACUGACACUGAGGCUCGAAAGUGUGGGUAUCAAACAGGAUUAGAUACCCGAGUAGUC